GCCCUCUUAGCUCAGUGGUAGAGCGUGUCACUCGUAUAAGGAUUCCUUUGAAUAGUGAUGACAAGGUCAGUCGUUCAAGUCGGCUAGGGGGCA